rnacentral:rRNA from 1 species
ACGGCGAGUGAAGAGGGAAAAGCCCAAAUUUGUAAUCUGGCUCUUUUAGAGUCCGAGUUGUAAUUUUGAGAACUGUUUUCCGUGCUGGACCAUGUACAAGUCUGUUGAAAAACAGCAUCAUUGAGGGUGAAAAUCCCGUUCAUGAUAUGGACUACCAGUGCAAUGUGAUACAGUCUCUAAGAGUCGAGUUGUUUGGGAAUGCAGCUCAAAGUGGGUGGUAAAUUCCAUCUAAGGCUAAAUAUAGGUGAGAGACCGAUAGCAAACAAGUACCGUGAGGGAAAGAUGAAAAGAACUUUGGAAAGAGAGUUAACAGUACGUGAAAUUGUUAAAAGGGAAACAUUUGAAGUUAGACUUGUUAUUGUUGGUUCAGCCUUUUUAAGGUGUAUUCCAAUGGUUAACAGACCAGCAUCAAUUUUUGGGUGUUGGAUAAGGGUCUUGGAAAUGUGGCAACCUUGGUUGUGUUAUAGUCCUUGACUUUGAUACAAUGCUUAAGAUUGAGGAACGCAGUAAGC